AUUCUACUCCUUCCGUCCGGAAAUACUUGUCCUAGGAAUGGAUGAAUCUAGACUUAUUUUAAUUAUAGAUACAUCAAAUAUAUUUAUUUUUAGGACAAGUAUUUUCGGACGGAGGGAGUAUGAA
rnacentral:pre_miRNA from 1 species